AAGUGACCCCAGGUCAGGCGGGACUACCCGCUGAAUUUAAGCAUAUCAAUAAGCGGAGGAA
rnacentral:rRNA from 1 species